GAAAUGCGAUAAGUAGUGUGAAUUGCAGAAUUCAGUGAAUCAUCGAAUCUUUGAACGCACAUUGCGCCUCCUGGUAUUCCGGGAGGCAUGCCUGUUCGAGCGUCAUCAAAAUCCCUCAAGCUUGAAUUUAUUCAUGACUUGGUAUUGGAGUCGGAGUGGACACGUGCCAUUCCCAUCCGAAAGUCAAUGGCGAAGUUGUCUGCACCAAUUAAGCGUAGUAAUCAACUUUAUGUUUCGCUGUGAUGUAGAUAAACCUUCCGCCGUUAACCCCCCAUUUUAAGUGUUUGACCUCGGAUCAGGUAGGGAUACCCGCUGAACUUAA
rnacentral:misc_RNA from 1 species